rnacentral:rRNA from 1 species
UACGGAGGAUGCGAGCGUUAUCCGGAUUUAUUGGGUAUAAAGGGUGCGUAGGCGGACGCUUAAGUCAGCGGUAAAAUUGCGGGGCUCAACCUCGUCGAGCCGUUGAAACUGGGUGCCUUGAGUGGGCGAGAAGUACGCGGAAUGCGUGGUGUAGCGGUGAAAUGCAUAGAUAUCACGCAGAACUCCGAUUGCGAAGGCAGCGUACCGGCGCCCAACUGACGCUGAAGCACGAAGGCGUGGGUAUCGAACAGG